rnacentral:rRNA from 1 species
AAUGAACGCUGGCGGCGCGCCUAAUACAUGCAAGUCGAGCGAGAAGACGUAGCAAUACGUUUGUAAAGCGGCGAACGGGUGAGGAAUACAUGGGUAACCUACCCUCGAGUGGGGAAUAACUAGCCGAAAGGUUAGCUAAUACCGCGUACGCUCCUUGGACUUCGGUUCAGGGAGGAAAGCGAUACCGUGGGUAUCGCGCCCUU